rnacentral:rRNA from 1 species
GAAACUCUGAUGCAGCCAUGCCGCGUGUGUGAAGAAGGCCUUCGGGUUGUAAAGCACUUUCAGUUGUGAGGAAAGGUUAGUAGUUAAUACCUGCUAGCUGUGACGUUAACAACAGAAGAAGCACCGGCUAACUCCGUGCCAGCAGCCGCGGUAAUACGGAGGGAGCUAGCGUUGUUCGGAAUUACUGGGCGUAAAGCGCACGUAGGCGGACUUUUAAGUCAGAUGUGAAAUCCCAAGGCUCAACCUUGGAACUGCAUUUGAAACUGGGAGUCUAGAGAUCAGGAGAGGUUAGUGGAAUACCGAGUGUAGAGGUGAAAUUCGUAGAUAUUCGGUGGAACACCAGUGGCGAAGGCGACUAACUGGACUGAUACUGACGCUGAGGUGCGAAAGUGUGGGGAGCAA